UUGUUGGUGAUCCCUGUAUACUUGAGGUCUUCUGAAGGUGCUUCUUUUCCCAGUGCUGUAUUAUGCAGUGACCUGACUGAAAAACAAGCAGCCCAUCUGCACAUCUUCAUCCUUCCAUGAGCAUGCUUGUAGGAGAGAGACUGCAAGUGAGAGAAGAAAGAAAGAAAGCUUAAAAGCAGGCAACCUUUUUCAAAUUUGGACAAACACCAUCAGCUGACAGCAUUGUUCCCUGAUUGGCAGCACCUCCUCAAACCCUUCCCAACGUUUUCUGGAGCUCUGGCACAGCUCUCCUGAACACUGGGGACCUGAAUCACUGUGAGGAGCAAGGCUGGGGAAAUGCUGGGCUGAAGGAGGGAGCUCCUGGUAGACCACCCCAAUGGGAAGAUGCUGACUUUCCUAUACUCACAACAGAAAUAGCCAUUUCUAGAGUUUUAAUCUGUUUUUAUUCUCUUCCAUGCAAUGAGAUUAGUUUUUUCCAUGUUUCUGGAGGAAAAAAAAAAAAAAGCCCUCACAUUUUUAAUGGAAACAUGAUAGGGAGGGAAGAGAAGUGAGCCCCACUCGCUUUUGGUGGAGCACCUUAAGCGUCAGCUUUCUUUCAUGACCCAACUCAUCAUGCUAAAGGUGGGCACCCAAACAAACUUCAGGAGUGGCUUAGUAUACCCUGAUUAUUUUUCACCAUUCCGUGUGAACGCACUGAGAUAUACGCACUGCAAGCAAGAGCAGAUAAAACAAGAGAAAGCAGGAAGCUAAACCCCUACAUUUCUUCCAUCCUGAUUGAUUUGCAGUUGAAGAGUGGGAUAUCUUGACUUGUGACUGUGAUUUUGUAUUAGUCAUGAGCAGUUAUAACCUAAAACCUAAAAGAGUGGUCAAGUGCUCGAACAGGUUGUCUAGAGAGGUGGUGGGAACCCUGUCCUUGGAAACACUCAAGGUCAUGCUGGACAGGGCUCUGAGCACCUGACUGAUCUACAGGAUCAGAUGACCUUUAAGGGUUCCUUUCAGGAUCAGAGAGUCCCUUUCAACAAAUGAUUCUACAUUUCUAUGAGAAUGACUGUCUUUCUCCUUCCAAAAAUAAAACACAAGUUGUCU
rnacentral:lncRNA from 1 species